GACGAACGCUGGCGGCGUGCUUAACACAUGCAAGUCGAACGGACAGGCCCUGCUUUUGUGGGGUGCUCGAGUGGCGAACGGGUGAGUAACACGCGAGUAACCUGCCCUUGACUUUGGGAUAACUUCAGGAAACUGGGGCUAAUACCGGAUAGGAGCUCCUGAUGCAUGGUGGGGGUUGGAAAGUUUCGGCGGUUGGGGCUGGACUCGCGGCUUAUCAGCUUGUUGGGGGGGUAGUGGCUUCCCAAGGGUUUGACGGGUAGGCCGCCUGGGAGGGGGGACGGGCACCAGGGGACUGCGAGAGGGCCCAGAAUCCUACGGGAGGCAGCGGGGGGGAAUAUUGCACAAUGGGGGGAAGCCUGAUGCAGCAAUGCCGGGUGCGGGAUAACGGGCUUCGGGGUGUAAACCGCUUUCGCCGUUGCCGAAGCGUGAGUGACGGUAAUGGGUAAAGAAGCACCGGCUAACUACGUG
rnacentral:rRNA from 1 species